CCUACGGGAGGCAGCAGUGAGGAAUAUUGGUCAAUGGGCGUACGCCUGAACCAGCCAAGUAGCGUGCAGGAAGACGGCCCUAUGGGUUGUAAACUGCUUUUAUGCGGGGAUAAAAUGCGUCACGCGUGGCGUUUCGUGGGUACCGCAUGAAUAAGGAUCGGCUAACUCCGUGCCAGCAGCCGCGGUAAUACGGAAGGUCCGGGCGUUAUCCGGAUUUAUUGGGUUUAAAGGGAGCGUAGGCCGGAUGUUAAGCGUGCCGUGAAAUGCCGUGGCUCAACCAUGGCACUGCGGUGCCAACUGGCUUGCGUGAGUGAGCGAGAGGUAUGCGGAAUUCGUGGUGUAGCGGUGAAAUGCUUAGAUAUCACGAAGAACUCCGAUUGCGAAGGCAGCAUACGGCAGCGCUACUGACGCUGAGGCACGAAAGCGCGGGUAUCGAACAGGAUUAGAUACCCGAGUAGUC
rnacentral:rRNA from 1 species